rnacentral:rRNA from 1 species
AUUGAACGCUGGCGGCAGGCCUAACACAUGCAAGUCGAGCGGCAGCGGGAAAGUAGCUUGCUACUUUUGCCGGCGAGCGGCGGACGGGUGAGUAAUGCCUGGGAAAUUGCCCAGUCGAGGGGGAUAACAGUUGGAAACGACUGCUAAUACCGCAUACGCCCUACGGGGGAAAGCAGGGGACCUUCGGGCCUUGCGCGAUUGGAUAUGCCCAGGUGGGAUUAGCUAGUUGGUGAGGUAAUGGCUCACCAAGGCGACGAUCCCUAGCUGGUGUGAGAGGAUGAACAGCCACACUGGAACUGAGACACGGUCCAGAAUCCUACGGGAGGCAGCAGUGGGGAAUAUUGCACAAUGGGGGAAACCCUGAUGCAGCCAUGCCGCAUGUGUGAAGAAGGCCUUCGGGUUGUAAAGCACUUUCAGCGAGGAGGAAAGGUCAGUAGCUAAUAUCUGCUGACUGUGACGUUACUCGCAGAAGAAGCACCGGCUAACUCCGUGCCAGCAGCCGCCGUAACAC